AUGAAGAAUUCUAUUUAAUUAUUACUUACUUAUCAGCUGUUGAUUGAGGAUACUAGAGCAGCUCAGAUAUACUUUUUUAUAUGGCACUACUAAAUGAGCGCAACAGAGAUGUAUGAUCACACAUAUACGUACGUGUAAGCAGAAAAGAAGUUAGAAUCUGCACAGUGCAUACGGCAGGCUCCCACUUUUUAAGGGUUUGAAAAGCUAACGUUUCACUAUUUUUUUCACCACUUUGGCUGGCAGGGUUAUUCCUAAACUAGUAUGUAAGUAGCCUUAGUGUAAGUAGCCUUAGUGUAAGUAGCAUGAGUGGUGAAUUAAUACCACUAAAGGGCGUCUCCGUGAUUCGGCACGACAAUGUUGCUAUCCAUGUACACGGAAAACCAAUUGUAACCGAGUAUAUAUUUAAUUCGAUUACGGCCCCAGCCUAUGGCAAGCUCCGAAGUGAUGGAAGACAUUCUAUCAUUAAAAAUGCUUUAACAUGUGCAUAUUAUUGAUUACAAUUACGUUGACUGAAUACUGGAAUUCAGCCAAAUUCUCCAUCUAUAUAGUAUUGAUCUUAUUAUUGGUAACAAUAGUUACAUGUAUUGGUAUGAAGGCAUAUCGCAAUCGUUGAAAUCAGAGGGUCAGACGCCAACUCCAUAUCUACAUAGAAAAAAGUUUGAAUCAUCACUCGCCAUAGAAAUAUCAGAUUUGCCACACCAAAUUUUACUUAUAUAAUCGAACACGGACUUUCAAAUUUAACGAAGGAGGAGUUUACAAACUCAACAUUUGAAAACCUAAUACGCUAACCGCUCAAAUAUUGAGAAAAGUGUUCUUCAUCACUCAUCGCAUAGAAAUUCUCCUGUUUUUUUAUUAUUUGUGGGAGCGCGCAAAUGUGAAAUAUCAUAAAAUUAAAUUAUCUACUGAACAAAAGUAUUUUUUUUUAUUUUUUAUAAAUUUAGACUAAUAACUGACAAGCUUCAGUUAUCUCAAGUGUCCAAUCAUUACCGAAAAUUUUCAUAUAUGGUAAGUAAUGACUCUGUAAGAGGCAUGAAAGUGAGUAGUACAGGUAUAGUAUAGUGAAUCAAUUCAGAAUACCAAUGUGUUAAAGAAAGAUGGAAAUUUAUACAAAUGCGUUUGAUUAUGUACAUUAGUAAAUAUUAUUGGUUAAGAAAAUAAUAUAAGCUUCCCUAAAAGAUGGGUAAAAGUUAGGUAACUGGUCACCGCUAGAUAAUUUAGAUUUACAUAGAGCACUGAAUCCAACUUUUUUACUUUAUAUGCAUAUAUUUACACACUUUGUUAAUUUUUAUUUCAUUCGUUCUCGUUUCGUAGUUGUGUUUGGCCGUGAACUGGGGCGGCGUCAACAUUCUCCCCGCCUUGCAGUAUUACUGCAAAUGCAGUUUACAACAAAUUACUUAAAACUAACGUGCGACUGGCUCCUAUACUUCCUCUCCCACGUCUUCUUUGCAGAUGGGGUGGCCGACGAGACGAAACGAGUCUGGUUCGGUCCGGAAAAUGCCGCUGAGAUGAAACGAGUCUCAGUCUUACAUUGCCAUGUCGCCAAUUUGCAUAGAAGUCACCACAUUCCGAGGUCGGCGAGAUGACUUGAGUCUAAGUCGAUCCUGGGUAGGUGGUAAAUGUGAGAGGCGUCGGCAAUCAGUGCACUUUAUUGUGCCGAUGUUAUACGACGCCGGAUAUUAUAUAUCCCAGUGUCGUAUUUUGAGUGAUGAGUUGUCCAACCGUGAAUCAGUGGAUGGACUGACGGGGCUAAUAAUGGCACGCACUGUUAUGAGCCUGGUUGCAGUUGGAACUCUUAUUAAAGCGCAAUUCUUUGCAGCCAGGGUAGUGUUGCGUGCCUAUUGUUGAUGAUACGACAUGCAUGUGCUUGACAUUGAGCGUCUCGUCCACGCCUUCGCUUCGGAUGGGGUGGCCGGCGGAACGAAUGGCGUUCCGCUCGGUCCGGGCAAUGUAGCUGAGACGAUUCGAGUCCAGUCGAUCGUUGGUCAGAGCUUUGCGUGACUGAUGACGUCGGUUGACACGGUUGAUAGGGGUCCGAAUACGUCGCGAUUGUCAAUGAAUUCUCUUCCAUUUCCAUAGUUGUGCGUGUAGCGCUGCGGCUGAAGCCGACACGCGUUCAACUUGAGAUUGUGGCGAUGCUUCUUUUUCAGUUUUCUCGUAUUUCUUUUGCAGCUGAUACAUGCUGUGCGUUAUUUGAGCAUGCUGUGACAAUUCUAUCUUGUCAUUUGUGAUUGGGUUUUCUCCUGUUUCACCGGUGGUUUUUUCUGGUAUUUUUUGAGCACCUGUAUGAAUUAGCCCUUGACAUCGAGUCGUAUCUCUUCGGGCACACGGUUGAUCUCCUUGUUGAGUGAGAGCAAGAAGAGCUUAUCGGGUUGUGUUGUUGUGACGUAUUACUGCCAGAUACGUGGUCACCGUUGUGCGAUUGCAUCCCAACGCCGGGUGCUCGAAAUGCGCCACCAUGCGUAUCAGGGUGAUUCGAUGAGCCAGGCGCAUCAUUUGUUUCGCCAUCAUUGUUGGCAUGAUCCUUUCGUUGCUGCUGCUGCUGUUGAUGCUGCUGAUGUUGUUGCUGUUGUAUAAAUAUAAAAUUAGUAUUAUUUUCACUACAAAAAUGGUUUUGUGUUUGUUGUUGAGUUAUUGUUGAAUUUUGUCUGUCGCCUUUGCCAUUUAUUUUUGUUUCUUCGGAGGGAACGGAACCUGUUAAAAUCCAACCGAACACUACGAUGUGCAAUGAGGGAUCCAAAGAUCUUAGAUUUUACCCCAUUUAGAAUGAUUUUCGGGUAAAGAUCCCCUCCGAUCAACAAGUCAACCUUGAAACUCGAGUGCUGUCCUUUUUGCUUGUCAGAUUUAAGCGUUUUUGUAGACUUUUGCUUACGAAGGUUCCUUCAGAUCCCGAAACGAUCAGGGCUCUGACAGUGAAGGUGCCCUCGUUGUGACAUAUGGGCCAUAUGAGAUUUAGUAGAAAUCUCAGUAGUGUCUGUGCUGUCGGAUAUCUGAGCAAUUUCUUCACUCUGAUCCCGGUGAAUCAUAGAGUGAUGUCUCUGUUUACAUUUGGAACAAUUGAACAUACUUUUACAAUUUUUGACUUCAUGUGAGUCUGAUAAACAGUUACGGCAGACGUGGAGUUUUCUGACAGCAUUUAACCGUGCAUUAGGCAGCAUCUUCUGGGAUGGCUGCUGCGCUGCUUUGCCUUUGCUACUUUGCCUGUGCUGCUUUGCCUUUGCUGCUCUCCCUUUGCUGCAUUGCCUGUGCUGCUCUCACUUUGCUGCCUAAUUUUUCGUGUCACUCACUUCACUUGUAAUUAUAUAUUUUUUUUUGCACUCGCGAAACUGCAGCUGCGUUAUUGCUGCUUGCCCUUAUUGCUAUUCGAGCAAUAUAUGGAAAGGCAGAGUUGAGCGACUGGACUUGACGCUCCAGACGAUGUUUGUACGUCCAAGAAAUUUAUAAUUUUUUUCGAAUAACAGUAUAUGUGGUUUUUUUUUUUGCAAAGUGAAAUAAUGUGUGCAUUUGCCAGGUGUAUUUAUUGUUGUACUUAAAUGAAGUACAAUACUAUCUGUAGUCUUGUGCGUUGAUUUUGUGGGUAGAGUGCCAAAACUAAGUUUUGGUCUCCACUUCACACAGCACAAAGGGUUUUGUACAUAUUAUAACUUAUGCACAAAUUAACCAAUCUAUUGCCUUAUAGCUUGCAGAGCACAAAUCCAAAAUACAUAUGUUUGGCUGUAACUUGCGUGUUGCUAAAUCGGGCAAAUUAUGCACUUUCACUUUGAAUAAAAAAUCAACUUGUUACCUGGGGGGUUACUCUGUAGGGCGUUGCGCAGGUGAAAAAGCUCGUUAAUGAAAAAAGGCAACUCUGUAAGGCGACAAGCGAAUUGGUAAUUGCAUUUUGCGAUUUUAUUUUUACCCCUUCGCAAUGGCACCACUCUGUAUUGCGUAAACGAGUGUCAAAUCUGUGCGUUUAUCGAAUUUUUGAUUCGAUAUCAAACUGGCAAGCGCAACGGACAAAAAAUGUAAGUUUAUAAGGCAUAUUUGUAGUUUUAAUUAAAAAAAAAUUAUUUAACAGGGAACAUUCUAAAAAUAAACAAACAAACCCAACACAAUUCGAAAUUUUUAUUAAUUAUAUGAAAACACAUUUGGAACUUUCCAAAGGACAACUGAAAACUGUGGACGCGAAAAAUGCUGCAAAUAAUUUAUGGAAAGAGUUGGUAUGUGACCUUAAUGCUGCGGGGCCACCAUCGCGCGAUGUUUUAAAAUGGAAAAAGAUUUGGUCGGAUUAUAAAACCCAUUUGAAAGCAAAAAUGCGGCGGAACAAACUAAGUAUCUCUGGAACUGGUGGUGGUCCUCCAAGUCAUUGCUCCUUAACACCGUUGGGGGAGCAGGUUAGUGAGCUUCUGGCAAUGGAAAUAUCCGUCAGUGGAAUAAGCGGCACCUUAGAAUUUGGUGCAGCACAGUUAAUGUAACCAAGUGGGUCAGACAUCACAACCGACGAAUUCCGACAGAAUGAACCAACGCCAGUGGAUGAAAUGCCAUAUUGUUCACGUCAAAGAGUCGCUCCGCAAAAGAAAGAGAGCCUUUUAAAUAAGCAGGUGGAUAA
rnacentral:lncRNA from 1 species